rnacentral:rRNA from 1 species
AUUGAACGCUGGCGGCAGGCCUAACACAUGCACGUCGAACGAGUGGCGGACGGGUGAGUAAUGUCUGGGAAACUGCCUGAUGGAGGGGGAUAACUACUGGAAACGGUAGCUAAUACCGCAUACCAUCGGAUGUGCCUAGAUGGGAUUAGCUAGUAGGUGGGGUAAAGGCUCACCUAGGCGACGAUCCCUAGCUGGUCUGAGAGGAUGACCAGCCAACCUGGAACUGAUACACUGUCCGAACUCCUACGGGAGGGCGCAGUGGGGAAUAUUGCACAAUGGGCGCAAGCCUUAUGCAGCCAUGCCGCUUGUAUGAAGAAGGCCUUCGGGUUGUAAAGUACUUUCAGCGGGGAGGCGUUACCCGCAGAAGAAUCACCGGGUAACUCCGUGCCAGCAGCCGCGGUAAUUC